GCCCGCGUGGCUUAGUGGUAAAGCGUAUCACUAGUAAUGAUAAGAUCCUCGGUUCGAUUCCGAGUGUGGGCA
rfam:Blastomyces gilchristii SLH14081 genomic scaffold supercont1.17, whole genome shotgun sequence.